CAUGGUCUAGCGGUCAGGACAUCGCCCUUUCAAGGCGGUAACACGGGUUCAAAUCCCGUUGG
rnacentral:tRNA from 1 species